UUUACAAGUUAUUAUAAAAAUUAUUCUUUUCAAUUUUCUAAUAAUUCAACAUGUUCCGUAAUUUUUUUGAUAGAUACGCGAGUUGAUAAACGUUUACGAUUGGCAAGAGAUUUUUUCUUAGAUGAUGCGGCACUUUGGGACAAAAUAGAUUCAAAGGUAUUUUCAAAAACUUCAGAAUUUUCAAGAUUUUCAGAAAGUGGCACUUCUUCAAAUUCCAUAAUGUCUGAAGAUGAGCGAGCUAAAUGUUUGCAAUAAAAAAACUGUAUUCGACCCAAUAGUUUUAUCUAGGAUGAAGCCUCAAGUUUACUCCAUGCAAGCAAGGGCGUCACUAGUAUAGUCGUGAUGGUUGAAUGUCGAAUUUGGCUCAAUUCACAGUCGAGUGCCGGAUAAAAUCUGUUACCAUUGAAGCGUAUAUUAGUUCUUUUUAUGGUUCAGCCGAUUUUUAGCCGGUUAAUUAUUGACUUAAAAGGCUAAAAAUAUAGUAAUUACUCAAUUAUGUUUACAAUAUCAUCGGACUCAAAAGGACUUUUUUUAAAUUUCAAAUCUCCCAAAGAUAACUAACUAGAUGAAGCUAUCACUAUAUGGCUAGAUAGUGUCCCUCCUGAUACACCUUUUCCCAUACUAGUGACGUACAAAACGUUUUUUUAACCCCUAAUAUCAAAAACAUUUACACAUUUAUCUUAUUCUUCAUCUCUUGAGAACAUUCAACGAUUUCAAUACAAAAAUAAAAUCGGAGGCCACGAACAAAAACCUGGAGAAUCUCUUAACCAAUGCACAACUUAGAAUGAUUUUAGGAUAUAGACUCGGCGAACUAGUUAACCCCCAUCAUUGCAUGAACUGCUUCCUAGCAAAUGCCAAGGAGGGAAGGCAUAUUUUAAUUGUAUCAAAUGUUAAGGCUGACAUCAGCGUAACUCCUUAAUAAACAACUUAUUAAACCUCCUAUUAAAAAAGGCUCGCAUACCUAAUAUUCUAGAACCCUGCAAUCUCUCAACUGAUGACUGCCUAAGACCCGACGAUCUGACCACUAUCCCCUGGUCCAUGGGCAAAACCCUUAUUUGGGAUUAUCAUGUGUCUCAUCCUUCCCAACUAAUAUUAAUAGCAACCGCUUACCUAAGACUAAAAAAUAAACAAAACAAAAGCCUCGGCAAUCUGAUAUUAUCAAUAGCAAUGUCUACCAGUGAACAGUUCGCUCCUAUAACUUCUAGUUAUUCCUAAUACAGAACAUAUAAAUCAAUAUUUUUAAAUUAAAAUAUUAUUUUUAAGGACCCAAUUAUGUUUUUCUUAAAAUUAUUUUUUUUUAAGUUUAUAUUUUUUUUUUGUUUUUCAAUUUUAUAUAUUAUAUAUGUACUAGUUUUAUAUUCACAUAAAAUAUUGUUGUUUCUAACUUAAUCUAAUUUUUAUAUAAAAUUUGAUCCAUAUAUU